rnacentral:rRNA from 1 species
CGCCUGUUUAUCAAAAACAUCGCCUCUUGAAAAACAAAAAUAAGAGGUCCCGCCUGCCCAGUGAAUCCUUUAUCAACGGCCGCGGUAUUUUGACCGUGCAAAGGUAGCGUAAUCAUUUGUCUUUUAAAUGAAGACCUGUAUGAAUGGCUAGACGAGGGCUAAGCUGUCUCCUUUUUCAGGUCAAUGAAAUUGAUCUCCCCGUGCAAAAGCAGGGAUACACACAUAAGACGAGAAGACCCUAUGGAGCUUCAGAUGCCACGGCAAGCAUUGCCUGCUACUUCUAAACAAAAGAAUACCCACUAGCUUCUGCCUCAGCAUCUUCGGUUGGGGUGACCAUGGGGAACAAAAAACCCCCACGAUGCACUGAGAUGUCUACAAGACCUUGACACAUCCUCUCAAACAAGAGCCGCAGCUCUAAUUAACAGAAUUUCUGACUACCGAUCCGGCAACGCCGAUUAACGAACCAAGUUACCCUAGGGAUAACAGCGCAAUCCCCUUCAAGAGCCCAUAUCGACAAGGGGGCUUACGACCUCGAUGUUGGAUCAGGACAUCCUAAUGGUGUAACCGCUAUUAAGGGUUCGUUUGUUCAACGAUUAAAGUCCUACGUGAUCUGAGUUCAGACCGG